rnacentral:rRNA from 1 species
UACGUAGGUGGCAAGCGUUGUCCGGAUUUACUGGGCGUAAAGAGCGCGCAGGCGGUCGUAUAAGUCGAAUGUGAAAGCCCCCGGCUCAACUGGGGAGGGUCAUUCGAUACUGUUCGACUCGAAGGCAGGAGAGGGAAGUGGAAUUCCGGGUGUAGUGGUGAAAUGCGUAGAUAUCCGGAGGAACACCAGCGGCGAAGGCGGCGCUCUGGGCCGGAACUGACGCUGAGGAGCGAAAGCGUGGGUAGCAAACAGG